AUCCACGGAUCCUAGGCAAGAUAAGUGCAUGUAAAUGAAGUCCGGUGAGAAUCCGACGCUGUCCCGCAACUGUAUGACCUUAUGGUCGAGCCAGAUCUUUGCAUGCGCGUUUUUA
rnacentral:ncRNA from 1 species